UUGCUCACUUUGGCAGCACAUAUACUAAAAUUGGAACACUACGGAGAUUAGCAUGGCCCCUAUGCAAGGAUGACAUGCAAAUUCAUGAAGUGGUCCAUAUUUUU
rnacentral:snRNA from 1 species